AUAUCACUUAUUAUACUUUCUUGAGAAUUCACUUGGAAGGAAAAGUCAUGCAGGAUAUUUUGGUAGAAAGCAACGUGAGCUUCAGUUCUUAGUAGCAAUGUGAGUCCCAAUUUUAUGGAAGCAAAGUAUAAUUUUGCUCAUGCGAGUUUUGUUCACUAUUUGGAUCUCGUUGUUUCAUUUUGUCGUAUUGUUAAAAUUUGAAAUUUAUUCAAGGUGAAGUAAUGUGGAAGAAGAGUAUUUCUUGGCAUAUGAGGUAAGAAUUCUCCUCUAUUAGAUAUAUUUAAAUUCGUUCAGAUCACAAUUAAAUGAAGAGACGGGAAUUACGAAAGUUAUAUCAGAAAUCGGAUAAAUAGUUAUUGUUAUCACGUGGGUAGUUAGUGGAUGAUGAAAUAAAGUGGGACAGCAAGGAACUAAUUAUUGUAUUAUCGGACAAGGAUUAAAGAGGUAGUAUUGUAUUGCUGGAUGGUUUAUGAGGUGGCAGCCCCCUACACGUGGAAGCAUAGUAGAAGAAGUGAUUAGUGACUAAGAGCCCGUUUGGAUUGGCUUAUAAGUUGCUUAUAAGCUGUUUUCAGCUUUUUUGAGUGUUUGGCUGGCCAGCUUAAAGUCAUUUUGUGCUUAAAAUAAGCUCAAAAAAAUAAUUGGGUCCAUUUGGCUUAGCUUAUCUAAAGCAGCUUAUAAGUUGUUCAGCUUAUAAGCCAAAAAAAAAUAAGUUAGACUACCCCAACUUAUUUUUUUUAGCUUAUAAGUUGUUUGCAGCUUAUAGGCAUAAGCCCAUCCAAACAGGCUCUAAGUCACUUACAUACAGAUCUGCAAGCCUCAUCCAAGGAAAUACCUUUUAGUGGUGGGCUCCACCAUCCAAUAUAUAUUAUAUAAAACUUUUCUUGUUUUUGGAGAGUACAAGACUUCUUGAGAAAUAUAGAUAUAUAUAUAGGUUCUACAUCACUAUUUUUGCUAUGUACGUAACAUAUAGCUAUCUCUCACGUUUCAGUUAUAUAUGUAAAGAAGAUACAUAUAUUUCUUCUUCUUACUUUAGUUUAAUGGAAGAUAUAGAAGUGGACAGCAUUGUUUUACAUUUUUGUUUCAAAGAAGAUUAACGACCAACAAUGUUUUAGGCACUUCAUUUUGAGAAAGAAGGGAGCCGCAAGGCACUUAGCUUGUAGUGUGAUUGGAAGUUGGGCAGCAACUAAGUGGCACCUUGCAGUAACGUGUAUUCCAUUUUAAGUGGUUGCUUGGUUCUUGUAUACUCGGGGCAAGGCAGGUUGUUUCAUCUUGGUUUAAGAAUAAGUUUGGAUGAGACGGUGGUUUUAUUGUGAUUAGCGGAUCGAUAAUCGAGGUACACCCAGAUGAGUAGAAGACUUUGCUAGAAGGUGUUCCCGCGGGAUUAGCGAGCUCCAUCUCAGUUCGGAGUGUUGCCGGGUCAAAGUACUUAUGUCAUGGUAUUUUGUAUAGGCUAGAGACUUUGCAGACAGUGUCCUGUGGUAUGUUUGUCGAGAUGUCGACAAAGUGAUAUCAGUUUUAAUAGAGCAAAUAUCUAAGGGUUCGCUCGACUCUGAUGAGAGUCGGGUGCCCGUCAUGCCCUACCAUUUCUAGGGUGUGACAACACAGAAGACCGUUCACGCAGCCAGCUCACAAUACCCAGUAUUCGAGGCCCACAAGCAACUGGGAAAAGGGUAGUAGAAGCCAUCCUCAACGAUCGAGUCAUACAUGCCUCAAGAAAAGAUCACCAGGAGUUCUUGGUGAAAUGGCUGGGAUGUGAUGCCGAAGAGAAUACAUGGGAAAGGCGCCUGAUCGAUGACUAUCUUGCAAGCAAGGCGCCGAGGACGUCGCCAACUCAGGUGGGGGAGAAUGUCAUGGGCGGCUUUCCAGCCAUGUGUCACGCCCCAAAACCCACCCUAGACGUGACCGGCAUCCAACGUCAUGAACAACAUCGGAAGAACCUAAGCGACACAAUAAUAAUACUUGAACCCGCCAGGUUCAACAUUCGCCUCCAACAAUUUAUAAAUUAAAUGUAACACAUCAUGAUCACAUGAAUUAAAUCAGCGGAAGUCUUUAUAAGUAAAUAGUCAUAAACGUGACAAACACCCAUUAAGUCGUACGAGACUUUUGACAAUCUACCCACAAUUAUGACAACUAUCUAUGGAGCUUCUAAGAGACAUAACAAUCGUCAAACCUCGGGACGCAGCCC